rnacentral:lncRNA from 1 species
GGGACACCUAUAUAAGGCUCACGGGGAAAUGCAAACUCCUUACAGCGUGACAGGAAUCCCACUGCUCUGAGGAAAAGACGGCAAGCGGCAUCCCGGGCUGAGGAGCUCCCGCAGAAGACGGCGGAAGAAGCCACGUGUGGAACCGGGCGGCAGGAGGAUGCAAGCAGAGGGAGCAAGAAGAGGAAGCAGAAGACUGCGGCUGGGCUAAGGGAGAGGCGGCCUGGGCAAAAGCAUCUCCCUGUCACCAGGGGCAUAGUCAUGUCGCAGUAGAGCGUUGCCCGGCACUUUAGGUGACCAGGCCGGCUUUGUGCUGGGCGACCUCCCUGUAAGCAGGGCUCGGGUCUUUGCUGUAGUUGGCCUUUUGCCUUGUUGCUCCUUUGGCUGCCUGGGGGAAGGUGGGGCCCCUGUAAGGAGGGCGAGAGCCGCUUUCUCCGCACC